GGGUCAAUAGGUUGGUCGUGCCACCGGUACGUACUGGUCUCACUGAUUCCUCCUUCCUGAAGAACCGUAAUGCCAUUAAUUUGGUGUUGCGGGGAAACAGGACUGUUACUUUGAAAAAUUAGAGUGUUUAAAGCAAGCUAACGCUUGAAUACAUUAGCAUGGAAUAAUGAAAUAGGACGAUCGAUCCUAUUUUGUUGGUUUCUAGGAUUGACGUA
rnacentral:rRNA from 1 species